AGCUAAACUACAAGAUCAGGGUGGUGAUUGUCAGUUCUUGAGCUUCGAACGGGAAGAAAGCCAAACAACAAGAUCAGGGUGGCUAUGGUCAGUUCUUGAGCUUCGAACGGGCAGAAAGCCAAACAACAAGAUCAGGGUGGCUAUGGUCAGUUGUUGAGCUUCGAAUGGGCAGAAAGCCAAACAACAAGAUCAGGGUGGGUAUGGUCAGUUCUUGAGCUUCGAACGGGCAGAAAGCCAAACCACAAGAUCAGGGUGGCUAUGGUCAGUUCUUGAGCUUCGAACGGGCAGAAAGGUGAG